CGAACCUAUUAUUGCGCGUCCGCUCACGGAUGCAAUAAUCGUUUUCUACCGCCGCUGCUGCCGCCGCCGCCGCCUCACUGGUCAAUGCUUAAAUUAUACCACAAACCCUAAACCUCUCCGCCCAUUCUCUCUCCUGAGCAGCGCUGCCACAUCGAUCAAUCUGCCUUGAUGGAGUUCUGGGGUGUUGAAGUUAAACCUGGGCAGACGGUAAAGUGCGAACCUGGAGAUGAAGGAUACUUGCAUCUUUCGCAGGCUUCACUAGGUGAAAUCAAGAAGGAUAAGGGGACUGGAAAUGUUCCAGUUUUUGUUAAAUUUAAUGAUCAAAAGCUAGUUCUUGGGACCCUCUCUACAGAGAAUUGUGCCCAGAUUCAAUAUGAUAUUGUAUUUGAGAAGGAAUUUGAGUUGUCACACGGUUCAAAGAAUACCAGUGUAUUUUUUGUUGGUUACAAGAGCAUUCAUGAGAACUAUGCUUCUGAGGAUGAUUUAGAUGGUUCCGAUGUUGAGGCUUAUCUGAAUGAUCCGAAAGAGAUAGGAGAGGGUUGGCUCAAAAAGAAAAAUCUGGUAAAGCCAGGAAAAGUUGCUGCUGCUGAUAAGGAUGAUACUGUAGCUGCUAAGGCUAAAACUCAGACAGGGAAGCAGGACAAAGUUGAAAAACCAAAACUUGAUGACAUACAAAAUAAAGCUGAUGAUGAUGAUGAGGAAGAUAAGGAUGAAGAUGAUUCUAAUGAAGAAUCUGAUGACGAUGAUGAUUAUAAUGAUGACGAGGAACUAGUUAAAGGAAUGAUUGAUAGUGAUAGUGAUGAUGAGGAUAAGGAUGAUAGCUCUGAGGAUGAAAAGGCUAACUUAAAGGUUGAAAAUGGCAAGAAGAGAUCUGCUGAUGCUGCUUUGAAGUCUCCGAUUGGGAAAAAGUCUAAAACAAUAACUCCAGCUGGGAAUCUCAAAAUUGAGAGUAAAAAAACCCUCAUUUGCGUCGACGUCUACUCGCAUCUGCUCGACUCUUCGGCUUCGAGCUUUAAUAGAGGAAAAAAAAACUCAUUCGAAGCCUUCGACCUCUUCUUCCUCGACGACGUGCAAAGCUAAUAGCGUCUUCGUUCUUCUCCUUCGCGAAGCAAGAAGUCAACCUUGUCUCCUCCUGCAGGCCUGCUCUCAUCUCAUUCCCAAUUUUUUUAGGCGUGAUCAUCAGGUCUGUAAGUGAGGGCAUAACUUGCUUUGGAAAGUUCUUUCAUCCCCUCUUUCAGUUAGGUAACUUUAAAAUUGUUUAUAGUUUUGAUUUUUGAAUGCUUCUUAUGAAGUUGUUGUAGCUUUUGGAAAGCUCUUUCAUCCCCCCUAGCUCGUUUCAACCUGGAAGCUUGGGAAGAAAGCCAGCAUCAGUCGCUCACAUGUCAAGAAGCUCUUAAUGGCAUAAGCAAAGUAGUACAGGGAUAUCUAUUGAAUGGAUUCAGCCGUGAUUUGUACACCUGCUUGUAAUGCAUCGAUUAUGGACACUUGUGAUGAUGAAGUUAUUCACUGACGCAUAAAUUAAAUGAUGUUAUGGAUACAAAAGUGCAUUCUGAGUUUGCUUGCAUGUGUGGAAAGCAAUUAGAUGCAGUUAUGGAUGACACAACUUCUCCAAAUAAAUGCACUCCAACUGUUCAGUGACACAAAGAAAGGCAGCCAAACCCCUAUUCCCCAGAUUACUAAACAAGCUGGAAACAAAGCAAAACAACAGACUCCUAAAUCUUCUGGUUCAGUUAUGUGCAAGACAUGCAGCAA